CAGAGUUUGAUCUGGCUCAGGAUGAACGCUAGCUACAGGCUUAACACAUGCAAGUCGAGGGGAAACGACAUCGAAAGCUUGCUUUUGAUGGGCGUCGACCGGCGCACGGGUGAGUAACGCGUAUCCAACCUGCCCAUCACUUGGGGAUAACCUUGCGAAAGUAAGACUAAUACCCAAUGAUAUCUCUAGAAGGCAUCUGAAAGAGAUUAAAGAUUUAUCGGUGAUGGAUGGGGAUGCGUCUGAUUAGCUUGUGGCGGGGUAACGGCCACCAAAGCAACGAUCGAGUAGGGGUUCUGAGACGGAAGGUCCCCCACAUUGGAACUGAGACACGGUCCAAACUCCUACGGGAGGCA
rnacentral:rRNA from 1 species